UCACCUUGUGUGUAGGGAGGAGAACCAGCCCUAGGGCUGCUGAGGAGCCACAUAAAUACAAGCAACAGAUGUUUCCUCUGCAGCUGAACAGAUGGAUAGGCAGCCUGGGAUGGGGCCCUGCCCUGGAAACCCCCACCUCUGUCUGGUCUCCCGGGCCCUGGGACUCGCCAGCCUCCUCCUCAGCAUCUGCAGCCCUGGAGCCAAGAGUUCUGAAGCACACGGUUCUGGAGUGAAAGGUUCUGAAGCCAACAAUCCUGUGAAGGGGACUCAAGGAGGUGCUAUCUGGUUUCACAUGAACACGAACCCAGGAGCUGAGCUGGAGAAGAUCUUGUGGGG